rnacentral:lncRNA from 1 species
GACUGCUGGAAUAUAAACGACUGCAAUAAUGUAUCGUAAAUCUAUACGGAUGCUCUUUGACUGCUUGUCGAAGUCCUUUUUGCCCCAGCCGGUAGGUCUCUAGAUGUUACAGAGAACCCCGAACAAUCCAAACUGUUAAUCUUCAAUACCGCUUUGUACUUACGAUCUUGUAUCCACUGACUGUCUUGUUAGAUUAACCCAAUAAAUUUCAUUCACUCUGCAUACUCAAUCCUAUAGACACCCUUUUAAUCCUUCAAUCACAGACGUGACUCGAUUUCACAAAACAAUCAAGAGUAUUCAAACCCACUUCAUUAAAAAUCCCGAUUCACCAUUAUAAUACUGACUUCAGCAGCGAUUGCCUCAGUCUUCCCAAAACUCUACGAAGAAGAAAAAUCCAAAUUCUAUGUCUUUCCU